UACGUAGGUGGCAAGCGUUGUCCGGAAUUAUUGGGCGUAAAGCGCGCGCAGGUGGUUUCUUAAGUCUGAUGUGAAAGCCCACGGCUCAACCGUGGAGGGUCAUUGGAAACUGGGGAACUUGAGUGCAGGAGAGAAGAGUGGAAUUCCACGUGUAGCGGUGAAAUGCGUAGAGAUGUGGAGGAACACCAGUGGCGAAGGCGACUCUUUGGCCUGUAACUGACACUGAGGCGCGAGAGCGUGGGGAGCAAACAGG
rnacentral:rRNA from 1 species